GCCAUUAAUAUUGCUAUUUUGAUGCCACAGACACCAGUGCAACCUAAAAUUAAGCCUUUCGUUUUGGUAAAUUCAUCCACAAUCAAAGCCUUAGGGAACAGAGUCAAUGCAAGCACCUUCAUGAAUAACAAAAUAGGGUUAAUUAAACUAUUAAUACCGGAAGGAUUGCUUUUUUACUUCAAAAGGAAAUUGCCCUGAGUAGCAGGAGAAAGAUAUGUAUGCCUCAAAGAAAGUGGGAUGGACAAAGCACACACUAAUGGAUUGAAAUAAUAGCUGACAAAGAUUCUCAGCAUUUGUACAGUAAUGCUCAGUGGCACCAAAAGCGGCGCCAUUACCAGAGACUCCAGUUUAAUUUGUGCUGAUAGGCCAGGGACUCUUUGCCGGCCAAGGAGACCCACUGAUGCGGGCGGCAGUCAGCCCUAAUGCCCCAGUUUGAUGGGAGAUGACUGGGAGGGGGUUGAGAGGGAUCACAACCAAUGGGCGCUCGCUCAAGUGGGACCACAGUGACAGUAAGCAGCUGUGGGAACUUUCAUUCUCACUCAGCAGGAGUCAGCACAGAGCAAGAGCGUUUGAGAGCUUUGGCAGGAGGGUGCUGCAGUGCUGUGAUUACACGGCACCCAUGUGCCAACGGCUUCAAACAGCUAAAGGUGGACAAAAGGGUCAGAGCUGGCACCAGUAAGAGUGAUGUCGCUUAUGGGCUACUUUGAUCAACAACAACCACUCAGGAUGAUGCAGUGCCCUGCUCCCCGACACGACAGCAUCACUUAAUCUUAAUGUCCGCCUCUACAGAGUGGCCGCACAGGACAAAGCCAAUCAGCAUCACAUGCCAUGGGGAUGGACCUACAGCUUGGCCCUGGAGUUUCUCACCCUUGCAGGCCUAUUCAUCAACUUCAGCCACACCAAUCCCAGAGUUCUACCCUUGCAAACCACAGCUGAGCCGGCCAAUGAUCUAUGGGACAAUGAAGAAGGUUGGGGGGUGGGGGGUGUUCUGGCGUGUGCGAGAGAACACUUAUCAGAUUGCACAUUAUGCACUGCUUUGUGUUCAGUAGAAGAAAAAAAACUAUGGUGGGGAAGUAAUGAAUGUACUCAGCCCUACUUGAGUUCAGACCACCUAUUUGCCGCGUUUAAAGAGAUAUCUGCUCAAUACUUCUACAGCACCCAGAAUACGAUAGAUCUGGAAUAAUGAUCACUGCUCAUUUAGAUAAAUUGCACUCAGGGAAUCCAUUUGUAAAGAUCUGAAUUCAGCUGGAAGCAAAGACAAUGGAGAUGCUUCUUCAUCCAGCUACCUCCCCAUCGGUUGUGGGAGUUUGGCUCUUCAGGGAAUGGGGUAAUCCCAAACUCCAGAGACGUGUUAGAAGACACUUAAAAGCAAGUAUCAAGAUUUUUAAUAUGUGACUUCAGCAGGAAAACUGAGACACAGAAUGCACCAUCCAGCUCGUCCUUCAAAGUCCUUGAGUUUGAUACAGACACAAUAAAACACCUCUUUUCUGUGA